rnacentral:rRNA from 1 species
GAUCCUGGCUCAGGAUGAACGCUAGCUACAGGCUUAACACAUGCAAGUCGCGGGGCAGCGCAUGGGGCAGCAAUGUCCCUGGCGGCGACCGGCGGAUGGGUGAGUAACGCGUAUCCAACCUGGCCCCCUCUCCGGGACAGCCCCCUCGAAAGAGGGAUUAAUACCGGAUGUUCCCUGUUUUCCGCAUGGCAUUCAGGGCAAAGGCCUUUCUGGCCGGAAGGGGAUGGGGAUGCGUUCCAUUAGGCAGCCGGCGGGGUGACGGCCCACCGGGCCUUCGAUGGAUAGGGGUUCUGAGAGGAAGGCCCCCCACACUGGGACUGAGACACGGCCCAGACUCCUACGGGAGGCAGCAGUGAGGAAUAUUGGACAAUGGCCGGAAGGCUGAUCCAGCCAUGCCGCGUGCGGGAAGACGGCCCUAUGGGUUGUAAACCGCUUUUGUUGGGGAGCAAUAAGGUCCACGUGUGGAUUGAUGAGAGUACCCAGCGAAUAAGCAUCGGCUAACUCCGUGCC